rnacentral:rRNA from 1 species
UGCAUAGGAAUCUACCUAGUAGUAUGGGAUAGCCACUAGAAAUGGUGGGUAAUACUGUAUAAUCCCUGCGGGGGAAAGAUUUAUCGCUAUUAGAUGAGCCUAUGUCAGAUUAGCUAGUUGGUGGGGUAAUGGCCUACCAAGGCGGUGAUCUGUAGCUGGUCUGAGAGGAUGAUCAGCCACACUGGAACUGAGACACGGUCCAGACUCCUACGGGAGGCAGCAGUGGGGAAUAUUGGACAAUGGGCGCAAGCCUGAUCCAGCUAUGCCGCGUGAGUGAGGAAGGCCUUAGGGUUGUAAAACUCUUUCAGUAGGGAAGAUAAUGACGGUACCUACAGAAGAAGUCCCGGCAAACUCCGUGCCAGCAGCCGCGGUAAUACGGAGGGGGCAAGCGUUGUUCGGAAUUAUUGGGCGUAAAGGGCAUGUAGGCGGUUUGGUAAGUUAAAGGUGAAAUACCAGGGCUUAACCCUGGGGCUGCUUUUAAUACUGCAGGACUAGAGUCCGGAAGAGGAUAGCGGAAUUCCUAGUGUAGAGGUGAAAUUCGUAGAUAUUAGGAGGAACACCAGUGGCGAAGGCGGCUAUCUGGUCCGAUACU